UGAACACAGUAUCAAGCAUAAUCUUUCUGUUAGAUAUGUUCCUAUAGUUGAUGAGUUUAUUAACCAAACCCUCAGUGUUAAAUUUCAUGUUCUGUAAAUUCAAUGGCAUAUUAAAGAAUAUUAAGCAACCAGAUCAAGACAUUAAGGCUUGGAAGGAUCCUGAGCAUUAAAAGCUGCUGCUCCACAGGAGCUGGGUAGCAAAAGUCAACUCAACUACUUCAACGGGCAAAAAACCAGUGAGGUCAACAGCAGGGGCAGCAGGGGCCCACUCUAAAUAAAGAAGCACCUUGCAAGCUUCCAUUCAUUCUGUCCUGACACCGUCAUCUCUUCGUCCUCUGAAUGAGUCCAGUUGAACCUGAAGUUGUUAAUUUCCAUACAGAGUUGUUCCAGUGUCUUCUGAAGUCACUAACCACAAGAAGGUUUCCAUUGCAAUCCACUGAGAGGAGAGAAGACCAGAAACAGUCAAAGAUAAGUGUAGUCUUCACAUCUCAUCAAGGAAGCUUCUCUUGGCAACAGAUUGAGACCACUACAGAAAACCACAACCACAACCUAAUGGAUACAUCUAUAAAACACUUCUCCCCCUAAGGCUCAGUGAACACUGAGGAAAGAGGAGGUGAAAAUAUUGACACUCUGACUUCCUUACGUUAAAACUGGCAUUCAAAAGAUCAAAAAUCAAGAACUUCACUGUAUCGAAGGGAACAAGUUUGAAAGUGACAAAGGCCAGAAGAACAGCUAAGAUUAUGCAAGUCUGAUGACGAGUCAAAAAAUCACAUUGCAGA